AUUACUCUGUCUGAAAUUUCUGGAUAUAUAAUAAGGAAUUUAGACCUGAUUGAUGUUAUAAAUUUUGUUGCAUUUUUGUGAGGAUCAUGAGUUUUACUGCUGCAUAUAUAUUUUUUUCUUUGUAGUGAAUCUUUUGCCAUGAAUGCAUGUUAGUGCCUAUGAUUCACCAUUUUUUUUUCUUUUCGAGAGAGAGUUCUUGAUGUGAGCUCUCUGUUCAUACUCUUUUUGCAGUGAAAGAGUAUGAACAGAGAGCUCUGAGAGGCCUGCAUUCAAUAAUUUGAAUUUUGGAAGUAAUUCACACUUCUCAUUUAUGUAUCUAAUUCCAUCCUACUCGCCCUCUCCUCAGCGGUUAUAUCUUUUGGGCAAUUUUGGGAAUGUAUAUUUGAGAAUUGUGAAUUUUAAGAUUGUCCUCGAUAGGUUAAUAAAGAAGGCACAUAAGCUUAGUCUUAAGCCAAUUUGUUUAUGUGCUCACGGUAAAGGCUUUGAAGCUGAUGAUGGAUUGUAAAAGAUAUUUUUGGGUUUAUUAUGUGACAAGUGAGAAACUUUGAACUAAUACUAUGGACUGAGUUGGUGGUUUAUGUAAUGUGCAAGCCAGGAUAACUGUGUUUAAUCUUAAAAAUCAUCAUCUGCUUAGAGGUACAGGAAUACAAUGUUAUGUAGACCAAUAACCGGCCAUCCUCCCUACAAUAGGUCUGCUAUAAACUGAACAUUGUUACGUAGGAAAUGCUGAUAAGAAACUAGUUUAUUGAAUUGAUUUUGGUGUGAGUUCAGCCAAAAUCAUUCUAGGUCUAAGUUUCUUCCUUCCAUCUGGUCCCUCUCUCUCUCUCUCUCUCUCUCUCUCUCUCUCUCUGUGGACAACACUUUGAACUGUAUGACUGCUGCGACUUGCAACACAGUCAACAAAUGUAUGUGUAUGGGCUCAGUAGAACUAAAAACAUUAUACACAGAUGGUUUUGUUUUGGUUAAGAGUCAUGAUGUCCUAGGGUCUGUUUUUGUGCCUCAGAUAUGACCAGUACAGGUUCUUUUAAUGCCAUUCAUGGCAGGUGGCUAUUUUCAUGUUUCUAUGAAAUAGUAAAAAAAAAAAAAAAGAAGAAGAAUGUUUAGACUGAAAAGACAGUUGCAGCCAGUUAAGGUAUGCUUAAGUCUUUAGUACAACUGGAAAUAGAAUAGCAAUACCAAUCAGCAAGUUUGUUCUGUUCGUGGGUAGCAAUGUCUAUCUAUGGGGUUUGUUGUGAAGGUCAGCAGUUUUGAUGUUUGACCUCAUUGGCUAUAGCAUGGCUUUGUGGCGUGAGGUUGUAGAAUAAGAUGGGGUUGCAUGCGUUGUAUAGGAGCAGAUAUAUGUUUUUGUCUGGGGCUUUUAUGUUCAGGAUGUUUUAGGUCUUCAUGGGUUAUUUGUACAGUAUCUAGCCUGAAAUUCUGAGGCUUCUCUUUGUAAUUUCCUUUUCUUCUUCUUC